rnacentral:lncRNA from 1 species
UUGUAAUGUACAUGGAAAAUUGUGCACAGCAGAUUUUUUUAUAUAUAAAAAGUAGAUUCAGGAGCACAUCCAAUUAUAAAUGAUUGUUAGGAAAAUCAUAUAAAACAAUGGAAUACAUAAAAGUGUCAAGAGUAACUGUCAGGGUACGAAGUUCCUUGGUAGCCAGAUGCCCACGCAAGCAGAACCUCUCCUGGUAGCAUCACUACAAGGUCGUCCACAGAAGACUCUCCAGGGUGCAAGCAGCAUGGGCAGGUGUGGUUCGUUUCGCUGGUCUUUGUUGUGGCAUUAGCAGACUGUAUGCUGUUAGCUUCACUAGGAGGAUCUUUCAGAAUAUCAGACUUUGGUUUUGUUUUCUUGUUGGUGUUUUUCUUGGUGACACUGGGGCUAAUGUCCUUGUCUUUCUCUGGCUUUUCUUUGUCAGGCUUUUCAACCUUCUCCUUCUUCUCCUU